rnacentral:rRNA from 1 species
UACGUAGGGCGCGAGCGUUGUCCGGAAUUAUUGGGCGUAAAGAGCUCGUAGGCGGUUUGUCGCGUCGGUUGUGAAAACCCAAGGCUCAACCUUGGGCCUGCAAUCGAUACGGGCAGACUAGAGUACUGCAGGGGAGACUGGAAUUCCUGGUGUAGCGGUGGAAUGCGCAGAUAUCAGGAGGAACACCUAUUGCGAAGGCAGCUCGCUGGGACGUUACUGACGCUGAGACGCGAAAGCGUGGGGAGCAAACAGG